rnacentral:lncRNA from 1 species
UGGGAUUUAACCAUGCGUGUCUUCAUUGUAUAUUGGCAGUCUAUAGCUGAUUAUGGGCUGAGUUUGGGCAUAGAAAAUGUUGAAUUUUAAGUAGGCCCAUCUGAAGCACAACUAAAAAAAUGAAUAUAGUUUACACCGGAAGCCCAAUCCAUCAUCAGUUCUAAUUAACACUUUGCAGGUUCCAAAGAGGAUCCUAAAAAGAUGACAUUUAACUUUGAGUGAUUUUUCUGAAUGGAGUUUUAAAGUUAAUCAAUUAUUUU